rnacentral:tRNA from 1 species
AUUUAAGUAGUUUAAUAAAAAUUUUAGUUUGUGGUUCUAAAGAAGUAAUAUAUACCUUAAAUU